rnacentral:rRNA from 1 species
UACGGGGGGGGCAAGCGUUGUUCGGAAUUACUGGGCGUAAAGGGCUCGUAGGUGGCCAACUAAGUCAGACGUGAAAUCCCCAGGCUUAACCUGGGAACUGCGUCUGAUACUGGAUGGCUUGAAUUCGGGAGAGGGAUGCAGAAUUCCAGGUGUAGCGGUGAAAUGCGUAGAUAUCUGGAGGAAUACCGGUGGCGAAGGCGGCAUCCUGGACCGAGAUUGACGCUGAUGAGCGAAAGCUAGGGGAGCAAACGGG